AUUGAACGCUGGCGGCAGGCCUAACACAUGCAAGUCGAGCGGAUGAAGGGAGCUUGCUCCUGGAUUCAGCGGCGGACGGGUGAGUAAUGCCUAGGAAUCUGCCUGGUAGUGGGGGAUAACGUCCGUAAACGGGCGCUAAUACCGCAUACGUCCUGAGGGAGAAAGUGGGGGAUCUUCGGACCUCACGCUAUCAGAUGAGCCUAGGUCGGAUUAGCUAGUUGGUGGGGUAAAGGCCUACCAAGGCGACGAUCCGUAACUGGUCUGAGAGGAUGAUCAGUCACACUGGAACUGAGACACGGUCCAGACUCCUACGGGAGGCAGCAGUGGGGAAUAUUGGGCAAUGGGCGAAAGCCUGAUGCAGCCAUGCCGCGUGUGUGAAGAAGGUCUUCGGAUUGUAAAGCACUUUAAGUUGGGAGGAAGGGCAGUAAGUUAAUACCUUGCUGUUUUGACGUUACCAACAGAAUAAGCACCGGCUAACUUCGUG
rnacentral:rRNA from 1 species